rnacentral:rRNA from 1 species
CAGCCGCCACGGUAAGACAGAGGAUGCAAGCGUUAUCCGGAAUGAUUGGGCGUAAAGGGCUCGCAGGCGGUUUCUUAAGUCUGAUGUGAAAGCCCCCGGCUCAACCGGGGAGGGUCAUUGGAAACUGGGAAACUUGAGUGCAGAAGAGGAGAGUGGAAUUCCACGUGUAGCGGUGAAAUGCGUAGAGAUGUGGAGGAACACCAGUGGCGAAGGCGACUCUCUGGUCUGUAACUGACGCUGAGGAGCGAAAGCGUGGGGAGCGAACAGGAUUAGAUACCCGCGUAGUCCCUGUCUCUUAUAC